rnacentral:rRNA from 1 species
UGCAGUCGAACGAUGAAGCCUAGCUUGCUGGGUGGAUUAGUGGCGAACGGGUGAGUAACACGUGAGUAACCUGCCCUUGACUCUGGGAUAAGCACUGGAAACGGUGUCUAAUACCGGAUAUUUCAGCUGGCCGCAUGGUCUGGUUGUGGAAAGAAUUUUGGUCAAGGAUGGACUCGCGGCCUAUCAGGUUGUUGGUGAGGUAAUGGCUCACCAAGCCUACGACGGGUAGCCGGCCUGAGAGGGUGACCGGCCACACUGGGACUGAGACACGGCCCAGACUCCUACGGGAGGCAGCAGUGGGGAAUAUUGCACAAUGGGCGAAAGCCUGAUGCAGCAACGCCGCGUGAGGGACGACGGCCUUCGGGUUGUAAACCUCUUUUAGUAGGGAAGAAGCGAAAGUGACGGUACCUGCAGAAAAAGCACCGGCUAACUACGUGCCAGCAGCCGCGGUAAUACGUAGGGUGCAAGCGUUGUCCGGAAUUAUUGGGCGUAAAGAGCUCGUAGGCGGUUUGUCGCGUCUGCUGUGAAAACUGGAGGCUCAACCUCCAGCCUGCAGUGGGUACGGGCAGACUAGAGUGCGGUAGGGGAGAUUGGAAUUCCUGGUGUAGCGGUGGAAUGCGCAGAUAUCAGGAGGAACACCGAUGGCGAAGGCAGAUCUCUGGGCCGUAACUGACGCUGAGGAGCGAAAGCAUGGGGAGCGAACAGGAUUAGAUACCCUGGUAGUCCAUGCCGUAAACGUUGGGAACUAGAUGUGGGGGCCAUUCCACGGUCUCCGUGUCGCAGCUAACGCAUUAAGUUCCCCGCCUGGGGAGUACGGCCGCAAGGCUAAAACUCAAAGGAAUUGACGGGG